GCAAUAAGGUGUAAUGUAAUACUUUCAUAGCAUGGUAAAUGUCUAAGGCUAUUGUCUGAUUUCGUUUGUGCUCUUUGAUCAGUGGUGCUUUCACACUGGAUAAGGCGCCAGUUUCCAGCUGCACAGGUUUCAUAUUGUCAUAGUCUUAGCAAUUGAAUACAUAAUCAUGAUCCAAGGCUAUAAU
rnacentral:lncRNA from 1 species